GCCUACGGGGGGCUGCAGUGGGGAAUAUUGGACAAUGGGCGCAAGCCUGAUCCAGCAAUGCCGCGUGUGUGAAGAAGGCCUUCGGGUUGUAAAGCACUUUUAUCAGGAGCGAAAUACCACGGGCUAAUACCUUGUGGGGCUGACGGUACCUGAGGAAUAAGCACCGGCUAACUUCGUGCCAGCAGCCGCGGUAAUACGAAGGGUGCAAGCGUUAAUCGGAAUUACUGGGCGUAAAGGGUGCGUAGGCGGUUGUUUAAGUCUGCCGUGAAAUCCCCGGGCUCAACCUGGGAAUGGCGGUGGAUACUGGGCAGCUAGAGUGUGUCAUAGGAUGGUGGAAUUCCCGGUGUAGCGGUGAAAUGCGUAGAGAUCGGGAGGAACAUCAGUGGCGAAGGCGGCCAUCUGGGACAACACUGACGCUGAAGCACGAAAGCGUGGGGAGCAAACAGGAUUAGAUACCCCGGUAGUCUCC
rnacentral:rRNA from 1 species